rnacentral:rRNA from 1 species
UACGUAGGGAGCAGGCGUUGUCCGGAAUUAUUGGGCGUAAAGCGCGUGUAGGCGGUCCGGUAAGUCGGUUGUGAAAGUCCAGGGCUCAACCCUGGGAUGCCGACCGAUACUGUCGGACUAGAGUUCGGAAGAGGCGAGUGGAAUUCCCGGUGUAGCGGUGAAAUGCGCAGAUAUCGGGAGGAACACCAAUGGCGAAGGCAGCUCGCUGGGACGUUACUGACGCUGAGACGCGAAAGCGUGGGGAGCAAACAGG